rnacentral:rRNA from 1 species
GACGAACGCUGGCGGCGUGCCUAACACAUGCAAGUCGAGCGGGGUUGAAGCGAGGGGUAACUCGAACUUCUACCUAGCGGCGGACGGGUGAGUAACGCGUGGGCAACCUGCCUCAAGGAUCGGGAUAACAGCUCGAAAGGGCUGCUAAUACCGGAUAUGCCUAUGGCCUCGCAUGGGGCUGUGGGCAAAGGGGAAACCCGCCUUGAGAUGGGCCCGCGUCCCAUCAGCUAGUUGGUGAGGUGAAGGCUCACCAAGGCGACGACGGGUAGCCGGCCUGAGAGGGUGACCGGCCACACUGGGACUGAGACACGGCCCAGACUCCUACGGGGGGCAGCAGUGGGGGAUCUUGCACAAUGGGCGAAAGCCUGAUGCAGCGACGCCGCGUGAGCGAAGAAGGCCUUCGGUUGUAAAGCUCUGUCUGGAGGGACGAAGAAAGUGACGGUACCUCCGGAGGAAGCCACGGCUAACUACGUG